rnacentral:rRNA from 1 species
ACCGGGGCGGACAGCAUAUGAAGGUCAGGCUGAAGACUUACCCGAUUAGCUGAGAGGUGGUGCAUGGCCGUCGUCAGUUCGUACUGUGAAGCAUCCUGUUAAGUCAGGCAACGAGCGAGACCCACGUCCACAGUUGCCAGCAUACCCUCCGGGGUGAUGGGUACACUGUGGAGACCGCCGCUGCUAAAGCGGAGGAAGGAGUGGGCAACGGUAGGUCAGUAUGCCCCGAAUCUCCCGGGCUACACGCGGGCUACAAUGGUUGGUACAAUGGGCAUCUACCCCGAAAGGGGAAGGAAAUCUCUUAAAGCCAAUCGUAGUUCGGAUUGAGGGCUGCAACUCGCCCUCAUGAAGCUGGAAUCCGUAGUAAUCGCGUUUCAACAGAACGCGGUGAAUACAUCCCUGCUCCUU